rnacentral:rRNA from 1 species
GACGAACGCUGGCGGCGUGCUUAACACAUGCAAGUCGAGCGGUAAGGCCCUUUCGGGGGUACACGAGCGGCGAACGGGUGAGUAACACGCGGGUGACCUGCCCUCAGCUCUGGGAUAAGCCUGGGAAACUGGGUCUAAUACUGGAUAUGACUCCACGGUGCAUGUCGUGGGGUGGAAAGCCUUGUGCGGCUGAGGAUGGGCCCGCGGCCUAUCAGCUUGUUGGG